UACGUAGGGGGCUAGCGUUGUCCGGAUUUAUUGGGCGUAAAGAGCGUGUAGGCGGCCAGGUAGGUCUGGUGUGAAAACUCGAGGCUUAACCUCGAGAUGUCAUCGGAAACCAUCUGGCUAGAGUCCGGAAGAGGAGAGUGGAAUUCCCGGUGUAGCGGUGAAAUGCGCAGAUAUCGGGAGGAACACCAAUGGCGAAGGCAGCUCGCUGGGACGUGACUGACGCUGAGACGCGAAAGCGUGGGGAGCAAACAGG
rnacentral:rRNA from 1 species